GGUGAGGUGUCCGAGUGGCUGAAGGAGCACGCCUGGAAAGUGUGUAUACGUUUACGCGUAUCGAGGGUUCGAAUCCCUCUCUCACCGCCA
rnacentral:tRNA from 659 species